rnacentral:pre_miRNA from 1 species
AAUAUAUGACGCCGUUAGCCUUUUUAUCCAACGUUUGACCAUUCGUUUUAUUCAAAAUUUUAUGUAAUUAUCAUUUAUUUUAUUGUGAUUGGAUUCAUCAUCAAAUGUUCUUUAAACAUGACAUAAAUAUUUUCAUAUUUGUAAAAAAAAAUUAAAUAAAACGAAUGGUCAAAAACGUUGGUAAAAAGUCAACGGUGCCAUAUAUU